rnacentral:snRNA from 1 species
AAGUCAGAGGGGAAGUUGGUCAAAGCGAGCAGGAACUGGGGGAUGGAGGUCGUCGGGUGGAGCGGAAAGUCACCUGCAAGAUAACC